rnacentral:rRNA from 1 species
AGAGACCGGCGCACGGGUGCGUAACGCGUAUGCAACUUGCCUCUAUCACUGGGAUAGCCCGGGGAAACCCGGAUUAAUACCGGAUAUAUUUAGUAGUAACCUUACUAUUAAAUGAAAGAUUAUCGGAAAGAGAUAGGCAUGCGUAGGAUUAGUUAGUUGGUAAGGUAACGGCUUACCAAGACGAUGAUCCUUAGGGGGCCUGAGAGGGUGAUCCCCCACACUGGAACUGAGACACGGACCAG